CUUACUGGAGGUCCGAACCCACGCACGUUGAAAAGUGCGGGGAUGAGGUGUGGGUAGCGGAGAAAUUCCAAUCGAACUUGGAGAUAGCUGGUUCUCUCCGAAAUAGCUUUAGGGCUAGCCUCGAGGUAAAGAGUCAUGGAGGUAGAGCACUGUUUGGACUAGGGGCCCUUCUCGGGUUACCGAAUUCAGAUAAACUCCGAAUGCCAUGUACUUAUACUCGGGAGUCAGACUGCGAGUGAUAAGAUCCGUAGUCGAAAGGGAAACAGCCCAGACCACCAGUUAAGGUCCCCAAAUAUAUGUUAAGUGGAAAAGGAUGUGGGGUUGCUUAGACAACCAGGAUGUUGGCUUAGAAGCAGCCACCAUUGAAAGAGUGCGUAAUAGCUCACUGGUCGAGUGACCCCGCGCCGAAAAUGUACCGGGGCUAAACAUAUUACCGAAACUGUGGAUGAACCUCUUUAGAGGUUCGUGGUAGGAGAGCGUUCUAAGGGCGGUGAAGUCAGACCGGAAGGACUGGUGGAGCGCUUAGAAGUGAGAAUGCCGGUAUGAGUAGCGAAAGAAGGGUGAGAAUCCCUUCCACCGAAUAUCUAAGGUUU
rnacentral:rRNA from 1 species